rnacentral:lncRNA from 1 species
ACCCCACUGUCUCCCUCUUUCCAUUCCAUGACAACCUUGGACUAAACCAUGCUAACCAUUGCUAAAGCUCACAAUACGACAAGAUGGGAGAAAUGUCUGGGUCCUUGAUUGGCUUCAUAGAACAAAGCUCUCUCCACUGCCCACUAACUUUGAUUGGAUGGUGAUAGUUCAUCGUGGAGAGGACCAAGACAGAAGAUCAAGAAGAAUUUUUUUUUUAAUCUCUUCCCUUGUCCACCGAAAGACCAUCAAAACUAGAGAGAGAUUAUCAAAUGCCUGGUGACAAGUCCUCGGCUGCACUGGCUUCACAGGAGCUUAUGUGGAGAAGAAAAAGAAUUUGAGCCACAGCAACGAAACUCUAAAGUUGUUUCCAACUCUCUUACCAAAAGAGGCAUCCAGCCCAACAGCUCUCAACCUGGAGUAAAGCUCCCACGUGCCCUGUGGAGCAUCCUCGCUUUGAUUCCAUCCCUUUACUCCCAUUCAGAGAAUUCUACUUGAAUUUAAAUAAAUGACUCUUCUGCUAUUAUUGUGGUAAGCUUGAUUCUGCUGUGAUUUGAAAAGAACAAAAAAUAAAUUAUUGCAAAA